rnacentral:rRNA from 1 species
GCGCGAAAACUCUCCAAUGUGCGAAAGCGUGAGAGGGGAAUUCCUAGUGCUAUGGGUUUAUCCCAUGGCUUUUGCCAAGUGUAAAUAGCUUGGCGAAUAAGUGGUGGGCAAGACUGGUGCCAGCCGCCGCGGUAACACCAGCGCCACGAGUGGCUAUCACGAUUAUUGGGCCUAAAGCGUCCGUAGUCGGUUCUGUACAUCUUCUGUGAAAUCGUUGCGCUUAACGUAACGGCACGCGGAAGACACGGCA